rnacentral:rRNA from 1 species
AGGACAAACGCUGGCGGCGUGCGUAACACAUGCAAGUCGAACGCUCUGGUCUCUUUCGGGAGAGCAGGGAGUGGCGGACGGGUGAGGAACACAUGGGUAUCUACCUCCGGGUGGGGGAUACCGGCGAGAAAUCGCCGACAAUCCCGCAUAGCUUCGGGAACGAAGAAAGCAGCAAUGCGCCUGGGGAUGAGCCUGUGGCCGAUUAGCUAGCUGGUGGGGUAAUGGCUCACCAGGGCGACGAUCGGUAGCUGGUCUGAGAGGAUGAUCAGCCACACUGGGAUUGAGAACGGCCCAGACUCCUACGGGGGGCAGCAGUGAGGAAUCUUCCGCAAUGGGCGAAAGCCUGACGGAGCAACGCCGCGUGAGUGAUGAAGACCUUAGGGUUGUAAAGCUCUGUCGGAGGGGAAGAACACAAGUGACGGUACCCUCCAAGAACGCCCCGGCUAACUACGCGCCAGCAGCCGCGGUAA